AUAGAAGAGAUGACUGUGCAAGAUAAAAUUAAAAAGCCAGACAUACUUUCUAUCAAGCUGCGUAAAAAGAAACAUGAAGUACAAAUGGAUCACAGACCUGAGUCUGUUGUGUUGGUGAAAGGAAUCAACAUCUUUACAUUGCUCAAUUUUUUGAUCAACUCUAAGAGUUUAGUUGCUACCUCAGGUCCACAGGUAGGACUUCCUCUGACCCUCUUAUCCCCUGUUGCUCUCCGAGGUGCCAUAAUGCAAAUGCUUAAGGCACAAAGUGUAAAUGUGAAGACACAGCUCUUUCUGGAUACAGAGACCAGUUUAGUUUGGAGAUUACAGGUUCUAUCGUGCCUCAUUCUCUGCAUUCACUGACCAUGCUGCUCAAAUCUUCACAGAGCGGGUCUUUCUCUGCAGUACUGUAUCCACACGAGCCAACUGCUGUAUUUAACACCUGCCUGCCAAUGGACAAAGUACUUGAUACAGAGGUUGUUCAUAAGGAGCUUACUAACUGUGGUUUGCACCCUAAGACUCUGGAGCAACUUAGAGAAAUACCACUACUUGGGAAAUCAUCUUUAUGGAAUGUGGUGAUGAGA
rnacentral:lncRNA from 1 species